rnacentral:lncRNA from 1 species
CACUAAGUUUCAAUAGAGGGAUAUUGACUCAUCUUCCUUGUUCCAUGCUCCGCACACAGGAGGGGGCUCUGCAGCUUCUCCCACCAUGAUCUCAAUGCCUCUUCUAGGAGCAUCGAGGAAGGGUGCAACUGGUGGAAUUUUUGAGGCCGUGACAUUUGUAGUAUUCGAGGGCAAGAGGGUUCCCUUCGGAGCAAGGAGGCCCCUCGACCUCUGAGGCGACCAUCCAUCUUAUGGCAAUCCCUCUGAGAUGAGCCUCCUUGAGUUCUUGGAGAUGCC